AAGCCACAAAAAUUUAAGACUUCUAUUGCUAACCCACUGGAUUUAUCACAAUAGGGUUUCAAAAAGAGGAAAACUGCAUUUUGCUGCUUGAGCAUCGACUCCAACAAAAAGGAAUGAAUGUUAAGUGCUUAGAGACGAUAGCCGUAAGAAUGAAGAGGGAAUAAUCCCAAAAAGAUGUCUUCAAAUAUAUUAUUGCUAAAAGCAGUAUCUUAUAUAUCACUGCAUCAAAGAAACUAAGGACCUUAUUUCUGCUCCAUUUCCAUUGGAUAAGUAAUAUACUUUCUUCCAGUUUUCCUCUGAAAAUGCCUCACGACGUAUUAGUCUUUGCCUAAGGUAGUAAUGACAAACUGCAGCCGCUUCAUUCAAAUCAUAGCGGGCCAAAUUGACACGUGCAUCUACAGGAACAUCAGGCAGGUCUUUACGCAGCUUUCCAACUGCUGUUGAAUGAGAAAAAGCACCCACCAUCAUGUCAUUAUGCAUCAUGGACCUAAAAGCAUUUACCGUUGCAAGUUCCCUAGCAUGUAUUGGUCGACAAGAACGAAUAGUUACGGGUUCUUCAUACUCACUGAAUGUAAACCAGUUAUUAUAUUGAUCAAUUGCAAUGAGCACAGGUAUAUCUUUCACAAGUGAUAACUCUUUCCUCAAACGAACUACCACUCCAACAGCUGCAUGUGUGUGCUUGAUUCCAAUUUGAAUUAAGUCAUAUAAAGUUGAACCUUCAGGAACUGCCAUGGAGUCAACUCCCUUCACAUCCACCCAACACCAGCACCCUCUCCCAGUGGAACAGGAUCAAAUAUAUGGCAUGGUAAUUUCUUCAAAAUGGGAUCAUUGUAUUUCAGAAAAUCCUUAAGAAUAUUUUCAGCCUGAACAGGUGUGUCCCAAAGGCCAGUUUCUGGGUGUUUAUAGAAAAAUCCACCAUGAGUCCAUUCCCGCCCUCUAGGGACAUAAAACACUAGCCAACCCUCAUCACGAGCCCAGUGAACAAGCAUUGCAAGUGUAAUACUCUUCCCACAGCUAACAGGGCCAUCCAAUACAAUUUGCUUUCUCACUUUUGGAUCUUUACCACCAGAGGAAAGCGGAUGAGUAUCAACAAUGCGUCUAAAAUUGUCGCGAAGAUCCAAAAAGCUCUGUCUAACUAACACAGCUCUCCGCAUUGAAUCCUCGAACUCCUUUGCCAUCCCCUUUGGCAAGCCCUCAGGCAAGGCCCCAUUCAAUCCCUCCUCGCUGAAUUUGAAGUAGGUGCAGGUGUCAUUGCGAGUGAGCUGAGAGAGCGAGGGGGUGGAAGUGAACAGAGGUCGACCAUUAGGACCCACAUCGAGAGAAGGGUCCUUCUCGUCUUCCAUGAGGUGGCGGACGCGUUUGGCCCCAUCAUCAAAGAAGGCGGCGUCAACAACGUCGGUGGCAGAUGAGUUGGCAGUGGCUUCAUUGGUGGAUUUCUUCUUGGAUUUUGGGUCAGUUUUCUUAGCUUUGGCAAGGUUGGAUUUGGAAGAGAAGUAACAGAAGUGAUUAUGAUCGAAUGCCGAAAUAGAAGGAACCGUAGAGUUGGAUUUUGGGUUCCAUGGAGGAUGUAUCUGGGGCUUCCUCAGUGCGGCUCUGAGGAUGUGCCUUAACAUCUCUAUUUCUCCGAGUAGUAUGAGACGAAGGUUUUGGG
rnacentral:misc_RNA from 1 species